rnacentral:rRNA from 1 species
UACGUAGGGUGCAAGCGUUAAUCGGAAUUACUGGGCGUAAAGCGCGUGUAGGCUGCUCGGAAAGUCGGAUGUGAAAGCCCUGGGCUCAACCUAGGAAGUGCAUUCGAAACUUCUGAGCUGGAGUGCCGGAGAGGAAGGCGGAAUUCUCGGUGUAGAGGUGAAAUUCGUAGAUAUCGAGAGGAACACCGGUGGCGAAGGCGGCCUUCUGGACAGCAACUGACGCUGAGACGCGAAAGCGUGGGGAGCAAACAGG